UGGACGUGUCAGCGGAUGGGUCUAUGAAAGAUGAGGUGAAUCAUAGAAUUGAUGAGGGAAAAAGAGUGAGUGGUGCACUUAGGAGUCUGUGGAGACAAAGAACUUUGUCCUUGGAGGCAAAGAGGGGAAUGUAUGAGAGUAUAGUUUUACCAACGCUCUUAUAUGGGUGUGAAGCGUGGGUGAUGAAUGUUGCAGCGAGGAGAAGGCUGGAGGCAGUGGAGAUGUCAUGUCUGAGGGCAAUGUGUGGUGUGAAUAUAAUGCAGAGAAUUCGUAGUUUGGAAGUUAGGAGGAGGUGCGGGAUUACCAAAACUGUUGUCCAGAGGGCUGAGGAAGGGUUGUUGAGGUGGUUCGGACAUGUAGAGAGAAUGGAGCGAAACAGAAUGACUUCAAGAGUGUAUCAGUCUGUAGUGGAAGGAAGGCGGGGUAGGGGUCGGCCUAGGAAGGGUUGGAGGGAGGGGGUAAAGGAGGUUUUGUGUGCGAGGGGCUUGGACUUCCAGCAGGCAUGCGUGAGCGUGUUUGAUAGGAGUGAAUGGAGACAAAUGGUUUUUAAUACUUGACGUGCUGUUGGAGUGUGAGCAAAGUAACAUUUAUGAAGGGAUUCAGGGAAACCGGCAGGCCGGACUUGAGUCCUGGAGAUGGGAAGUACAGUGCCUGCACUCUGAAGGAGGGGUGUUAAUGUUGCAGUUUAAAAACUGUAGUGUAAAGCACCCUUCUGGCAAGACAGUGAUGGAGUGAAUGAUGGUGAAAGUUUUUCUUUUUCGGGCCACCCUGCCUUGGUGGGAAUCGGCCGGUGUGAUAAUAAAAAAAAAAAAAAAAAAAAAAUAUUUUGUAUCUAAGUUUUGUGAGUACUAAUAUAAACAAAUUUAUAAAUAAAGCUGGUAAUAUUUGUGAGAUUUUCACUAUGAGAAUAAAUAGUAUAAAAUACCGACACAAUGGAAACAUAAACACAUAUGCAGUUUAAUGUGAUCCUUUAUUGACAACAUUUCGCCCACACAGUGUGGGCGAAACAUUGUCAAUAAAGGAUCACAUUAAACUACAUAUGUGUUUAUGUUUCCAGAUUUUCACUACAAUUUUCCAGUUUUUCCUGACAUAUCCAUAUCAAUAUCCACAUUUUUUUUAACUCAACAACUCAAUUGUAGUCUUUCAUAAGUGUACUGAGUUCAGUCAGAUGACUCUAUGAGUGCGACAUCCCCUCCCCUCUCCUCCUCCAGAGUGCAAGUUAGUUAGUUAAAUAUCUUUAUUAUGCAGCCCAUACCCAUCCUGUGGGCAGUAGUCACCCUAUACCCAUCCUGUGGGCAGUAGUCACCCCAUACACAUCCUGUGGGCAGUAGUCACCCCAUACACAUCCUGUGGGCAGUAGUCACCCCAUACACAUCCUGUGGGCAGUAGUCACCCCAUACACAUCCUGUGGGCAGUAGUCGCCCCAUACACAUCCUGUGGGCAGUAGUCGCCCCAUACACAUCCUGUGGGCAGUAGUCAAAAGAUUACAGAGGCACAUAAUGGGUCCAGGGACUGGACUCCAAAGUUUUGAUAGCUGAACAAGUUAACAAAGGUAAUGAACUCCAGGUAGACCUGGUCACAAUCAUGACAAGUUACAAAGGUAAUGAACUCCAGGUAGACCUGGUCACAAUCAUGACAAGUUACAAAGGUGAAGAAUCAUCUACACUUCUAUUCAUGGUUACUCCUCUUCCCACCUCCAAGAUUCAAAAGACCAUAAGAAAGAAGAAGCAAUGCAACUCUUGGUCAUUUUUACCGCUUUCUCCCAUUGUAGUGUGACCAAAUUGUUUAAUACACACUGAUACCUUUAUCUUCUAUCUGUUUAAAGUCCCGGAGAACUCAACAACUGCCGCCUCAGAACACAGCUGACUAACACUACCACUUCUGCCCCAGAUUGAUGUACCUUAUUCCUUGCAUUAUCAUGUUUAUCAUAGAAAUUGUCCCAGUUGUCAAUAAAUGGGAUUGCAAUUUCUUUGCAGUACUUGUCUAGCCAGCAAUUUGCACCAACUGAUAUCCAUUCAUUCCGAGCCAGUGAGAGGGAAGGAGGUUUAGCCAGUCCAUUGGUAAGUAAGUUUAUUCAGGUAUACACAAACACAGGUACAUAGAUUAUCAUACAUAGCAGCAUAUGGGUAGAGAACCUGGGAUACCUGGAGUUUACCUGGAGAGAGUUCCAGGGGUCAACGCCCCCGCGGCCCGGUCUGUGACCAGGCCUCCUGGUGGAUCAGAGCCUGAUCAACCAGGCUGUUGCUGCUGGCUGCACGCAAACCAACGUACAAGCCACAGCCCGGCUGGUCAGGAACCGACUUUAGGUGCUUGUCCAGUGCCAGCUUGAAGACUGCCAGGGGUCUGUUGGUAAUCCCCCUUAUGUAUGCUGGGAGGCAGUUGAACAGUCUCGGGCCCCUGACACUUAUUGUAAGUCAGACAGACUGACUUAUUUCCAUUGGGCUCCAGAGCCCAGCUGUGAAUCUGUUAGUUUGAGAAUAUUAUUGACAAUUCCAGUGACAGUAGUGUGAGCAGAAAGAUCUUUAAGUAAACUUAAACAUAUCAAAAACUUAUUAAAGUCUAAUAUGUCUCAAAGUUGACUUAGUGAUUUAUCAAGAUUGAGUAUUGAGUCAAACAUUGCCAGAGAAAUUGAUUUUGAUAAUGUUAUUACAAACUUUGCAGAUAAAAAAGCCAGAAAAGCUCAUUUCACUAAGUCGUCUAAGUAAAUAUUAAACACUUAUUUUACUUUGAAAGAACUUAUUAAAUGUUUAAAAAUUUAGGCACUUGUAUAGUUAUUGGUGAACAAAAAUAUUCACAAUGUAUGAAGUAUACGUAUAAAGUAUGUGUUAUCUGGUCGUUCUGCUGUGCUUGAAAUAAAGUAUUUUUGAAAAUUUA